rnacentral:rRNA from 1 species
GCCCAGACUCCUACGGGAGGCAGCAGUGGGGAAUAUUGCGCAAUGGGGGCAACCCUGACGCAGCAACGCCGCGUGCAGGAAGAAGGUCUUCGGAUUGUAAACUGUUGUCGCAAGGGAAGAAGACAGUGACGGUACCUUGUGAGAAAGUCACGGCUAACUACGUGCCAGCAGCCGCGGUAAUACGUAGGUGACAAGCGUUGUCCGGAUUUACUGGGUGUAAAGGGCGCGUAGGCGGACUGUCAAGUCAGUCGUGAAAUACCGGGGCUUAACCCCGGGGCUGCGAUUGAAACUGACAGCCUUGAGUAUCGGAGAGGAAAGCGGAAUUCCUAGUGUAGCGGUGAAAUGCGUAGAUAUUAGGAGGAACACCAGUGGCGAAGGCGGCCUGCUGGGCUUUAACUGACGCUGAGGCUCGAAAGUGUGGGGAGCAAACAGGAUUAGAUACCCUGGUAGUCCACACUGUAAACGAUGAUUACUAGGUGUGGGGGGUCUAACCCCCUCCGUGCCGGAGUUAACACAAUAAGUAAUCCACCUGGGGAGUACGACCGCAAGGUUGAAACUCAAAGGAAUUGACGGGGGCCCGCACAAGCAGUGGAGUAUGUGGUUUAAUUCGACGCAACGCGAAGAACCUUACCAAGUCUUGACAUCCUGCGACGAUGCUAGAAAUAGUAUUUUCCUUCGGGACGCAGAGACAGGUGGUGCAUGGUUGUCGUCAGCUCGUGUCGUGAGAUGUUGGGUUAAGUCCCGCAACGAGCGCAACCCUUAUUGCCAGUUACUACGCAAGAGGACUCUGGCGAGACUGCCGUUGACAAAACGGAGGAAGGUGGGGAUGACGUCAAAUCAUCAUGCCCUUUAUGACUUGGGCUACACACGUACUACAAUGGCGUUAAACAAAGAGAAGCAAGACCGCGAGGUGGAGCAAAACUCAGAAACAACGUCCCAGUUCGGACUGCAGGCUGCAACUCGCCUGCACGAAGUCGGAAUUGCUAGUAAUCGUGGAUCAGCAUGCCACGGUGAAUACGUUCCCGGGCCUUGUACACACCGCCCGUCACACCAUGAGAGCCGGGGGGACCCGAAGUCGGUAGUCUAACCGCAAGGAGGACGCCGCCGAAGGUAAAACUGGUGAUUGGGGUGAAGUCGUAACAAGGUAGCCGUAGGAGAACCUGCGGCUG